rnacentral:lncRNA from 1 species
UAAAAAUCUUAAGAAAAUCCCAGUAAAACUUUUCUGUAGGGACGUCCAUCUGGGCUUGCAAAGCUAUCUGGCAACAUUGAUGGAAACUCUCACUUUGAAGGAAAAUUAAAUUUACACUGCUUUAUACCCAAAAUAAGUUGAUUCGCUCUCGCCUGUAGCGUUCACACGGGAUCUUAAUAAUCAAUAAAAACUGUACUGAAAUAUAAAAAUGGAGAGAAAUCCUGUAGAAAAAAGGGUUGUAGGAGUGCUUUGAUGAAGGGCAAGAAAAGUCUGCUGGUGACAAGUUGAUUGGAAAAAUUUGCCGUGAUAAUUCGAAGACUAGAACAACGUAAUCGCUCCUGAGGAAAAAGUUGAACGAUUUCAUCGAUACUGUAGACCCUGUUUUUUCUCGUUGCCGUGGUUUCAAUUUUACGCCGGUUAGUUACUCACUAAUAAACAUAUUGGAUAAAUGCGCGGUCCCUGGCAAAUAAAUAUUAUACCUGUAAUUGGGAUAAUCAUCGCUGGAGAAAGAAACUGUCUUCGGUCGGAUGGAAAGUCGAUGGCGAAUACGGAGCUGAGUAUGGAGAAUGCGGAGCUGACUACGGAGAAUGCGGAGCUGAUUACGGAGAAUGCGGAGCUGACUACGGAGAAUGCGGAGCUGACUACGGAAAAUGCGGGGCUGCGUACGGAGAAUACGGUGCUGAGUACGGAGAAUACGGAGCAGAGUACGGAGAAUACGGAGCUGAGCACUGAUAAUACGGAGCUGAACACUGGGAAUACGAAGCCGCGUACGGAGAAUACGAAGCUGAGUACGGAGAAUACGGAUGACAUCAUAUUGGAGGAGAUCUCUCAAGGACAGAUCAUCGAUGAUGGGCAAAAUGAUCCGACAGAACUCAGCCCCGAUGAGGUUUUGACCGGAGAGUGGAUUGACGAAGCAGUGAAAAACGUGGCCUUCAAUUUGAGACACUACAAGUUCAACUCUUUUGACAGGAGAUAUUUUACUGAAGACAUGAAAAACGUGACGUACGGAUUUUUCACUGCUUUUCCUAAUCCACCACUUCGGCAAUUCCAUUGGGAAGUAUACACUCAUUGCUCCACCGGCUUCUUAAAGUGUUUGAAGUACUUGAACGAAAAAAUCAAUGAGACUUAUCAUCUGCGAAAAACUGAUACUGCCACAAUAGUACAUACAUCCAAAUGGCGGCUUCCAGGAAAUCGAGAUCUUAUAAAUCAAGCAGAUGAUGAAUGCCUGAAACUAGUCGAAAUGGACCGCAAGAAAAACAAGCCCUUUCAGGGCCCUUUGGAGAAGUUCCAGUGGCAAACCUCAGCCAGCUAUUACAUGUGCUGGUAUACCAUGCAGGAUAUUCCUAACUUGGCGAUGGUCGGGGAGCCUUGCGACAACUUCGCCAACUGCUGGGACCCCGAGCGCGGUAUCACUAACCGAGACUUCCGGGCCGAUGAUCGGAAACCCUACGCAUGCGCCAUGUACAGCUUCUGUCCGGAUCCUUGCUGCCCGAAGAAGCUCGCCCGCUCGGAGGAGGAAUGCUGGAACACGGCCGAGCCCCGAUCCCCUUGCUCCCAUCUCCAGGACAAAGCUUGUUCCUUCGACCCGACCGCCAACAGGGAGCAGCUCAGCAUCAUUUACAACCACUGGAACGUCACCUGCAAGUGUUCGAGCCCCGGGUUCCGCUGGAGUUCUAAGUACGGCAUGUGUGUGGACAUUAACGAAUGCGAAAAUGGUGCCCAGGUGUGCAAAAACGAGACGGAGAUUUGCAUGAACCUUCCCGGCACUUAUAGUUGUCGUUGCUCCCUCGGCUUCGAAUGGUCGAAACUGUCGAAAUCUUGCAUCAAGAAUCAAUUCUUACACGAAGAGAUAAAUCGCGUCAUUGAAUUCUACACGCAGGAAAAUGCCGCCGCAACAAAGCAAGGGGAACCUAUGUCCAUUUCAAGCCUGGUAAAAAAGCUCAUCGGAUACAUAGGUCGGAAAAAAAUUUUCAUCGUCGAAUGGUUAAUGCUUGCGAUCGAUGACGUGUUUUAGACGAGUGGGAGACAAAACAAACUACUGUACUGCCGUGCUAAGGAAGAACGCCGUAUGAAAAUUCGAGAGUUGCCAAAUUUCCUUCGAUAAAAUUUUUAUUUUUGAGGAAAAUUAUGAAUAUUUUUCCUUGAAAUUUUCAGAGGUUUUGGAUCAAAUUACAAACAAAAUUAUCUUAGAAAUUAGUAAACAGAUAUUCAAAAAUUUUCCUGAAAAUUAGUGAUUUGCCAAGAGAAAUUUGGCAACGCCUGAAGGCUCGUGCGGUGUUUUUCCUUACCACGGCAGUGUAAUUGAUGCCAUAGAUAUUGGAAAAAUUCGGAAAUGUUUACAUUAAUUUAAUUAAUUGAUUAAUACAAUUUAAAUCGAAUUAUUAUGUAUAAUACAAUGGCCAAACUAAUGUCGAUGAGCCUCUAAUAGGAAGCUAAAAGCUUAUCUUGAUUGUAUUUAAAAUAAAAAUAUAUUGUCUUUCCAUCAAACAAAUUUAUUUCAUUAGCUCAAAAACUUGCUGGUUAUGGAAGUUCGAAAAAGAAAAAUUAUCCCUUUCAGCUUUUAGAAUGGAUUGUUUUUCCUGGGAAAAAGCUCUUCAUAAACUUUUGCCACACGUUUUAUAGAAUAAAUGAACUCGACAACCAUGAGCAGAGCUAAAAAGGAGCUAAGCCCCCCCCCCCCCCCCCAAAAAAAAAAACUUCCUACCUCCGAGAAAAUGUGACAGAUUUCACAUAAUGAGUAUUUGACAUAUCUUUGAUUUAUGCAAUUGUAUUUGGAGCACUUUAGGAUUAGGAUAUAACUCCAAAUUGCUCAUUUUUGUCAAAUUUUCCAGGAAAGACCCUUCGGCCCCCCUCUGAAGCUGAGGAAGCAAUUUCGAACCCCCUUUUUUGAGCUGGUGGAAAGCUGCUCUUCAAAGCGUCGAUACAC